rnacentral:rRNA from 1 species
AACGAACGCUGGCGGCGUGCCUAACACAUGCAAGUCGUGCGAGAAAGUUCCUUCGGGAGCGAGUAAAGCGGCGCACGGGUGAGUAACACGUAGGUAACCUGCCCCCCAGUCUGGAACAACUAGAGGAAACUCUAGCUAAUGCCGGAUGAGACCACGAUCCCUUCGGGGGUUGCGGCCAAAGAUGGCCUCUACUUGUAAGCUAUCGCUGAGGGAUGGGCCUGCGGGCCAUUAGCUUGUUGGUGAGGUAACGGCUCACCAAGGCUGUGAUGGCUAGCUGGUCUGAGAGGAUGACCAGCCACACUGGGACUGAGACACGGCCCAGACUCCUACGGGAGGCAGCAGUGGGGAAUAUUGCGCAAUGGGCGAAAGCCUGACGCAGCGACGCCGCGUGGGU